GAAGCUCUUCCGAUAACGGUACAAAAAUAAUACGAUUUAGACGGAAGAAGAGAGGACCCUCGCAUAAUGGCACGUACCACACAACAUCUUCUAAACGCAAACUUCAGAUAGAGAUAAUAAGAGAGAAAGAGAAACCCUACACAUAACCGGAUGUCCCAAAUCGCAAGAGUUCUACAAGAAGAUUCCAGUCAGCUGA
rnacentral:lncRNA from 1 species